rnacentral:rRNA from 1 species
AUUGAACGCUGGCGGAAUGCUUUACACAUGCAAGUCGAGCGGCAGCACGGGGGCAACCCUGGUGGCGAGCGGCGAACGGGUGAGUAAUACAUCGGAACAUGCCCAGUCGUGGGGGAUAACACUUCGAAAGAAGUGCUAAUACCGCAUAUGUCCUGAGGGAGAAAGCGGGGGAUCUUCGGACCUCGCGCGAUUGGAGUGGCCGAUGUCAGAAUUAGCUAGUUGGGGGGGUACAGGCCUACCAAGGCAACGAUCUGUAGCUGGUCUGAGAGGAUGAUCAGCCACACUGGGACUGAGACACGGCCCAGACUCCUACGGGAGGCAGCAGUGGGGAAUUUUGGACAAUGGGGGCAACCCUGAUCCAGCCAUUCCGCGUGAGUGAAGAAGGCCUUCGGGUUGUAAAGCUCUUUCGGCAGGAACGAAACGGCGAGCUCUAACAUAGCUUGCUAAUGACGGUACCUGAAGAAGAAGCACCGGCUAACUACGUGCCAGCAGCCGCCGUAACAC